CUAUUUCAGGACUUCUGGUAGAAUGGUGUCCACUGCACGUCACUGCGAUUUGAGUGGGCAGAGAGGAGCUGUCUCUGUGAUCAGACUGGAACACACGAAGCUUGCACAUCUCAAAUUCCUGUUGAUCCAAAGCAAAUUCACCUCAGAAGGAAAGAUUGUGACUCACACCUAGAACAGACCAUCUUUCAUUUUGCAAGGAGGAUGCCCGGAAGGAUGUUUCACUGGGAUCUCCGGGAACACAUGAGACAGCAGAGGCACACCCGGAAAGAGGUGGGAGAGGUGGGGUGGGCCCAGAUGUGCAGGUCCGAUUGGGCUCCCAGCAAAGCUCGCGGGGCCCUUUAGGUUCAGCUGCACUACUGGGAAUAACAGCAAUAGAUCAGGGGCAAAACUUCAUGUGCCCCAGUCACCUAUGGGAAGGAGGGGGUUGGAAACAAAUUUGACGCGGAGGAGCUUUCAUUGACAUGUUGCUCCCAGGCAGUCGUGAAG
rnacentral:lncRNA from 1 species